rnacentral:rRNA from 3 species
GGACUACUGGGGUUUCUAAUCCCGUUUGCUCCCCUGGCUUUCGCGCCUCAGCGUCAGAAGAGGACCAGUCGUGCGCUUUCGCCACCGGCGUUCCUUCCGAUAUCAACGCAUUUCACCGCUCCACCGGAAGUUCCCACGACCCCUGCCUCGCUCGAGUCCGCCAGUAUCCAAGGCACUUCCCCAGUUGAGCUGGGGGCUUUCACCCCGGACUUGGCAGACCGCCUACGCGCCCUUUAAGCCCAGUGAUUCCGAACAACGUUCGCACGGUUCGUCUUACCGCGGCGGCUGGCAC